rnacentral:tRNA from 1 species
CGGGGCGUGGCGCAGCCAGGUAGCGCACCUGCUUUGGGAGCAGGGGGUCGGAGGUUCAAAUCCUCUCGCCCCGACCA